rnacentral:rRNA from 1 species
AGAGAGAGACAUGCGCGCAUAUCAAUAAGCGGAGGAAAAGAAACUAACAAGGAUUCCCCUAGUAACGGCGAGUGAAGCGGGAAGAGCUCAAAUUUGAAAUCUUAAAGGGUUUCCCUUUACGAAUUGUAGUUUAAAGAAGUGUUUUCUGUUGAGGUUUUGGUAAAAGUUCUUUGGAAUAGGACAUCAUAGAGGGUGAGAAUCCCGUAUUUGACCUUUACUUUCAACUUUGUGAUACACUUUCAAAGAGUCGGAUUGUUUGGGAAUGCAGUCCAAAAUGGGUGGUAAAUUUCAUCUAAAGCUAAAUAUUGGCGAGAGACCGAUAGCGAACAAGUACCGUGAGGGAAAGAUGAAAAGAACUUUGAAAAGAGAGUUAAACAGUACGUGAAAUUGUCAAAAGGGAAGCGUUUGACACCAGUGUUGUUUUUCUGAAAAUCAAUUAAAGAACUGUUUAUGCUAAGCUGUUUAGACUUUAUCAGCUAACUGUUUAGCUUUUGAGCUUUUCUUUAAUGCACUUUUCAGUUAACAAGUCAACAUCAAUUUCUUUUGCUGUAAAAAAGCUUGAGGAAGGUGGCUUGAGAUUCGUCUUAAGUGUUUAUAGCCUCUUGCCUAUGCAGUCGGAGAGAUUGAGGUCUGCAGCGUAGAUCCUUCGGGGCUAAAUGCAUUUGUGCUAAGUUAUAACAUUUUAUAGACAACUUGUUGACUAUGAUUUGUCUUGUAGCUUACUCGCUUAUGUUAUUUUACCUACGCUUAGGAUGUUGAGCGCAUGUCUCUCUCU